CCACUGUGGACAACCUGAACACCAACUGCCCCCUUCUGUUCAUCAGCUUCUGUCCUUCUGGACUUUGGACACCCCUUGGUGUUUGUUCCGGUGGAAAACUCACUUUGACUGUGCAUUCCUCCACCAUGUCUCUCGUGGAACCCCCACGGCCCUCCGAUGAGGAUGUAGGUACACAGUCAUUGUCCUGAGCACCCUGAGCAGGACACCGAGGGUGCUGAUGGGAAAAAACCUGCCUCGGCUCACAGAGUCAUCGUCACUCACACAGUAUUCUGAAGGAUUCAAAGUGGUGCCAAGAACGUGGGAGUCCUCUAAAAUGCAGCUUGAGCACACAACAAUGACUUGAUGUACUUAAGGGAGUAUAUUUUAUUCAUAGGCCAUUUCCCAGAGCUGUCUCCAAGGUCACUGUUUUCCUGCGUGUGGCAGAGAUACCAAGUUUCCCCUGAGAUCCUGGUGUUGUUCUACAUAACAGUAACUCCUUGCCUAUUCUUGAGUACAAACCCGAAAACAACCUGGGACACGGUCAUCGAGAAUGCUGUUAGAUACUGAAGACAUUUUGUAAAGUGCUUUAAAGAAAUGGAUUCAUUCCCAGGGGUAUCCAUUAGGGCAUUUCAGAGACGAUGGCUUAGGC
rnacentral:lncRNA from 1 species